UACGUAGGGGGCAAGCGUUGUCCGGAAUUAUUGGGCGUAAAGAGCUCGUAGGCGGCUCAGUAAGUCGGGUGUGAAACCCCCAGGCUCAACCUGGGGACGCCACCCGAUACUGCUGUGGCUAGAGUCCAGUAGGGGAGUGUGGAAUUCCCGGUGUAGCGGUGAAAUGCGCAGAUAUCGGGAGGAACACCAGCGGCGAAGGCGGCACUCUGGGCUGGAACUGACGCUCAGGAGCGAAAGCGUGGGUAGCGAACAGG
rnacentral:rRNA from 1 species